rnacentral:rRNA from 1 species
GACGAACCGAGCGACCGUUGUUCGGAAUCACUGGGCUUAAAGAGUGUGUAGGCGGUGCUCUAAGUUCGGUGUGAAAUCUCCCGGCUUAACUGGGAGGGUGCGCCGGAAACUGGAGUGCUCGAGCGUGGGAGAGGAAAGCGGAAUUCCUGGUGUAGCGGUGAAAUGCGUAGAUAUCAGGAGGAACACCUGCGGUGUAGACGGCUUUCUGGACCAUUGCUGACGCUGAGACACGAAAGCGUGGGUAGCAAACAGG